rnacentral:tRNA from 2 species
GCGGGUGUAAUUCAGUGGUAGAAUGGCAGCUUCCCAAGCUGCAUAUGGCGGUUCGAUUCCGCUCACCCGCU